GACAGAAUUGAAAUGCCUGUGGCCACACA
rnacentral:piRNA from 1 species